rnacentral:lncRNA from 1 species
AGAAAGCAGGAGCAGCUGACCCUUUCCCAGAGAUGUUUCACAGGCAAGAGCAAAGGAGGAAACCAUGUGAAAUCCAAUCUAGUGAAAGAAUGCUCCCCAGCAGGAUCGGGUGUCUAGGCAGAUAUUUCUAACCCUUUCCAAAUGCACACCUUGCUGUCCCAUGGAGAAAGCAUGAAACUUGCUCAUCCGUCCACUCUCGGAGACUCACAAGAAUUAAUCCUCUCCUUUCUGAAGUUUAGCGCACAAGGAGGAGGAUUGCAGUUGAAUAUUGAUGGACACUCUUUUCAGGUAAGAUCAGGGGCACAGGGAGUGGAUGGGUUCUUGG